UACGUAGGGUGCGAGCGUUAAUCGGAAUUACUGGGCGUAAAGCGUGCGCAGGCGGUUUUGUAAGACCGAUGUGAAAUCCCCCGGCUUAACCUGGGAACUUCAUUUGUGACUGCAAGACUAGAGUGCGGCAGAGGGGGGUAGAAUUCCACGUGUAGCAGUGAAAUGCGUAGAUAUGUGGAGGAAUAACGAUGGCGAAGGCAGCCCCCUGGGUUGACACUGACGCUCAUGCGCGAAAGCGUGGGGAGCAAACAGG
rnacentral:rRNA from 1 species